rnacentral:lncRNA from 1 species
CCUCAAACUAUCAGUCUGUUGAUACUUUGGUUUUCAAGUUUCAAUUUAGGCUAAAUUACAUAAAUCCCUCUGUCAAAAUUCGAUUUUUCACUUUUCCCUCCUGUUAUUUAAAAACCUACACUUUGUCUUUUUGUAAGAUGAAAAAUGUUCACAGAGAGUACGGUGUGAACUGUGAUGACAAAAUAACUAUUUUGCCCUUCACCAUUUUGCCCCUCGGCAUGUUCACAGGAAAGAAGACUGAGGGCAUUUUUGGCAUAAAAAUAUAUAAUAAUAUUUUAUAAACGGAAUCCAAACGGAUUAGUAACGGCAGGGGGGAAGUGAACAUUUUUUAUUUUACAAGGGGGUAAAGUGUAGGUUUUUAAAUGACAUGGAGGGAAAGUAAAAAAUCGGGUUUUGAUAUGGGGGUUUUAUGUAAUUUAGCCUUUAAUUUAUUAUAAUUUCUAGCUCAAAUUUUUAGAAUUGUUAUAAUUAAAUCCCACAAACUAAUUCAAUUACUGUAUUGUUGAUGUAAAAGUGAUGUAAUAUUUUAAUUAUUGGUGCAUAUCAAUCACAACACUGCUUCGUUACUUUUAUUUUAAUAAUUCAUCAAUAUUUAGACGGCUAAAUUGGGCUAUAGGACUUUAUUAUAAUAAUUUUAAAAGUUCGAGUCAGAUAUUGCAAUAAAUUAAAGUUUGAGGAUUAAAGUAUCACUCGCCUCAUGGUUUGAAGACCAAACGUGUAAUUUACUAUAUUUUCUAAAAGGACUUAAUUAUCUAGGAAAUCAUUAAAAUUAAUAACUCUAUCAACUAUUAGUUGUUGAUGGUAAAUUGAAUCGAAAAUAUCUACUGAAAAAGUAUUGACAACAAUUAAGUUUAAUACAAUCUUCAUUAGAUUUGAAAAUUUCCAACUUAAAUUGUUUGAUAUAAUUUAAAUCAAGAGAAUCAAAAGUUGACAAAAUAUCACAAAAGAAAGACAAAAUUAUAGAAACCCCCAAGUAAAUACUCGCUUUUUCAUGUUCUCUCUUUCUAACUUUCAAAAACGUACAUUUUGUCCCUUUAAAAUUUCAAAAAUGUUUGCAGGAGAGUAUGACGUUAAGCAGAAGGCAAAAUGACCAAAUCAUCCUCACAUCUUCUAUAAGAAAAAAAAAAAAAUUUUAAUACAUUUAUAUCGUUUUGAAAGACAUUUUCAAUAUAAAUUAUAAGAAAUUGAUGGAAUACCAAUGGAACCCUGAUGGAGAGAGGCUAAAUGCAACAACUUGAAAUGUUAAGAGAGUAUAAUAUAGAUUUUUAAAAGUUAGGAUGGAAAAGUAAAAAAAAGGGAUAUUUAUCGGGAGUUUUUUUAUAAUUUAACACAAAAAAAUGAAGGAUUUAAAAACA